UCAGGCCCCUCGUGCGGCGUCAUCCUACGAACCUCCCCAGGGCCGGAAGGCAGCAAGGAUAAGUAGGCUCUGACGGGUGCGCGGGGGGUCCUUCGCGU
rfam:Thermobifida fusca YX, complete genome.